UACGUAGGGGGCAAGCGUUGUCCGGAUUUAUUGGGCGUAAAGAGCGUGUAGGCGGCUUGACAGGUCUGCUGUGAAAACUCGAGGCUCAACCUCGAGAUGUCGGCGGAAACCGUCUGGCUAGAGUCCGGAAGAGGAGAGUGGAAUUCCUGGUGUAGCGGUGAAAUGCGCAGAUAUCAGGAAGAACACCAGUGGCGAAGGCGGCUCACUGGCCCGGUACUGACGCUGAGGUGCGAAAGCGUGGGGAGCAAACAGG
rnacentral:rRNA from 1 species